ensembl:lncRNA
GGCAAAUUUGGGCCAUCGAUUUGCAUUUAUUUCCUGCUCAAAUGAUCCAGGCUGGCUGCUGCUGGGGGUGGGGGUGAGGGGCCUGCUCUUUAGCAUUUUAAGUUUGCAGAUAAUUGGAGGAAAAUAACUCCAAUAAUGAAAUCACUGCUGGAUCGCAUUCUGAUACGUGACAAAUCAAUUCAUUUAUGAUACCUUCUUUGUCACACUGAGCCAUUCUGGCGCUCAGUGGAAACCUCUUAAAUUAAUAAAACUGUUAAAUCCAUAAAAUCCUCCGUUCCGAGUAGCACAUCACAGCACAAGUUUGAAUCAUUAAAGGAAUAAAACUGAUAAAUGUGAGCUGGGGAGUGUCUGUGUCUGCAAAGAGGGGCUGGCUUUUAAGACAGAUACAAUAUAAUAGUCAUAAGCUCCAAUAUUUCCUCCCUGUGUGUGGUGGGGGGAGGGGAGGUGGGUGGGGCCAUCUGCCUAUUCCAGCGGGUGGAGGCUGGUGGAUACAGCCCUAGCCAGUGUGGGGCAGGCUGCUUUAGUGGUGAUUUGUGGGGCAUUAGCCUUUUAAAUAAAAUGUAAUUUAACAGCAAAGAGAAAAAUAUAAAGCCUUUAUUGGACCCCGUUGAACCUGACUUGGCUCAGCAGGGAUUUUCCAAAAUAGCUGCGCUUGUCUGAAAGGGGAGGAGUGGCAGGGCUCUCACACCCUACACUGACCAGGGAGUGGGAGGCUUGGCGGAUGAGGAAGGGAUCACACCCAUGUGCCCAGGUCAGGCUGGGUAGCCUCCUGGCUUGACUGCUUGCUGGCUGUGUGACCUUGGCCAGGCUGCUGCAUGUCUCUGAGUAAACUGGGGAUGGGAAUGCUGAUCUCCUAGGGAGGAAUGCAUGAGCUGGUGCACAAGGAAGAAUUUUAGAAACUAAAGUACAAGGGGCUGGCCAUUUAGUGUUCAUUUGAACGUGACCCCAGCCGGAAAAUGAUUCUGCAAUUCUCAGUGUGCAGGGUUGGCUUUGGUGUUGCAUGGGGGUGGGAUGACAUGGUUCUGCAGAGUGCACUGUCCAGUUCUGUGCCCAUGACCUCCAUCAUGCAGGUCUCCAUUCAUGAAUGUUCUUCAAAUUCACGAGCCCUCUGUCACUCAUUCAGCCUGGAUGGGCUCUGGAGGAAGCAGCAGGGAGCCUGGCCCUCAGAAAACAGCAGCGGAGGCUGUUCCUCCCUCUACAUGAGUCCACGUUGCAAACACCUAUAGAAGCGUUCAGGGGAUGCCUCUGUGCCAGGCACUGGACAAGAGCAGGCAAUGGGAGCCACAGGAAAUGAAUGAGACCCUGCCCAGCCCUUUGGGUCCCAUGUGGCCUCCACUCUUGUCCAUUUCCCUUCCACUGCAAUGGGACUGGAGGCUGCCUGAAGCCAAAAUCUGGACCUUCUUGUUCCCUCACCUUCUAUAAGCUGAGGCUCCGGUGGAGUGUUCAGCCCCUAUUCUAGUAAGUAGGGGCUCAUCCAGUGUGAUAGCUUUCAAACUUUAUUUACCCAAAAUAAGAAGAACUUUUUACAUCACACCCCAGUACACACAUCUGUGUUCUAUGUACAUAAUUGGACCAAAUAUUUUAGGAAACAAUACUCACCCUUAAUGAAUGCUUGGGAUUCUAUCCUAGUCUGUUCUGUUUUAUUCUAUUCAUUCCACUUCAUACUCCUUUUUCUGCUUUUAAAAUGUUGUCUCAAUCUAUUAAAUUAGUUUUAUGAUCCACUAAUGAGUGGUGAAUUCUGAUCCGAUCCACCUCCUCAGUUUUCUGAUAAGGGACUUAUCACAGGAAAGGGACACAGGAAUGACGAGCCCCACCCUCUAGCCUGGGAGGUGUCCAAGACCUCAACCUCCUAGGCCAUUUGACCUUCACAGCCACUCCUAUCUCUGGCUCAACCUGAGUUCCACCAGAGCCCUCCCCACUGGCCUCUCUGUGCAGAACUCAGGGACUCCAGAGGGAAAAGGGACAGGGAAACUGUCACCAGUGCCCUUGGUCCACCUUCUUGAAAAGAGAGUGGGAAUGACAAUUCGGCUCACCUGCUCUCCCCGCCCCACUGUGAUCAAAGGGGUCUGAGGGCGGGGGACCCACGCCCCUAACAUAAUGAGCCACGUGGGCCCAGCAACCUGACAAGCCUUCACUCCCCCCCGAGCGUCGGGAGUUCCUGACAGCCGGCAACUCGAGCACUAAUUGCCAGCCAGGGUGAGGGUGGCAGCCCUGCAAUCCAUAUCAAUUAUGGGCAUUGGCCGUGGCUGUGAGACAAAAAGCUUCCUCAGAGGCUGUCAGACCCUGGUGUCAUUACUCCAGGCUGCUGGAGUCUGGAUGGGAACAAUGGCCACCCGCCACCCCCCACUGCCUUGGUGGCCUGGCCCUGGGCACCGCUGGCCUGCCAGGCAGGCCCUGACAGUUGUAGGGGCAAACAUACAGCCUGCCUGGCCUGCCUUGAUGCUUUGUCACCGUGCUUGUCACCCUGGGACUGAUGGGCUGCCAUCACCUGCCAUCACCUCUCUUACAGAGGGAAAGCUUUGGGUCAGGUUUUUGUUUAAAUCAAAUGUUUUAUUUUCCUGGUGGGGAAACCAAAAUGCCCCCCCCGCCCCCGCCAAAGCAUCAGGAUUGGUAGCUUUCAAACUAAGAGCUGCUGAGGGGACCUGGUAGGCUCAGUGGGUGACAUUCAGGACCCCCAUCCCAGGUUAAAUCUGUUUCUCAAGUCAGGCUUUCUAGGGCUGCACUGGUUCUCAAACUUUUGCAUGCAUCAGAAUCAUCUGGAGGCCUGGUUAAAACAGAGCCUGUGAGUCCCAGGUUUCAGAAUUUCCAUUUAGUGGGUCUAGGGUGGAGCCAUCACGGGCAUUUCUAUCAAGUGCCCGGUGAUGCCGAUGCUGCUGGUCCGUGGACCACACUUUGAGAUCCAUUGCCUUAGAAAGUGCUUCUCAGCCUGGUGUGUGCAGAAUAGACAGGCUAGCACAUCACCCCAAACCUAGAAUCUGAAUUUUCAGACCAUUUCUGAGGGCUGAGGUGUCAGAUACACGCCAGGGUUCCUGGCCCCAAAUGGCUGGAGGAGGUCAUACAAGAUGUUGUGCUUCCCUCAAGGGUAGGAAGUAUUUUUUCAACAUUUGGAGUCGUUCAGAGAGGCAAGGGCUGACGAGAAAAGUAGUGAGUCCCCCAGUGCUAGAGGAGUCCAAGCCAAAUGUGAGCUCCCAACCCUCUAGGCUGUGCUAGAAGAGACCCUGAAUGAGAUAGAGGUUGGAUGGAGAUCUCCAAGGAUUUCCCCCCUCACCGAGACAUCGUUGCAUGGGGGGAUUGGGCACAUAGAUUUAGGACUGGACCUGAGUUUAGAAGCCUCUCUCCCAUUUCCCAUGAUGCCCCAGGGCCCAGUGGUUUAAUUUCCCACCACGUUUACCCGUGACCUGCCAGUUCUCUGGGCACCAUCUCACCCACUCCCCCGACAUAACCUACCUCCUGAGAGAGGCAGGUGGUUGUGCCACACUGGCAGACAAGGAAACGGAGGCCCGGGGAGGUGAAUUGACCUGUCCGGGGUCCACCACACUUUUUUUGGGGAUCCUGGUGGGUGGGAACCUGGCCACACAGCACUGGCAGUACAGGUGGCAGAGCUGCGUGUGAGGCCAGCAGGACUGUGGCACAGUGGACUGAAGGAUGGUGCUAUCCUGUGACUGGUGAGCUCCCAGGGAGCCCAGGAAGAGGCCUCUGAGCUGUCCGUGGCCAGGGUGCUGGGGGAUCUGGGGUCAGGGCCUGAUUAAAGGGUUUUGAGAGGCUCAGGUCAGUCUGUGUUCUGGGGGCUUGAGUCCAGAGCACUCUGCCUUUCCGGGGCCAGUCUUGUCCCCCAGAAUCUCCCACGGCCUUUUCUAGGCUGGCGCCUUGCUGUAGCUUUUUAGAAAAACCAGCUUUAUUGAAAUAUAAUUUACAAACCGUGAAAGUUACCCAUUGGAAGUGCGCCGUUGGAUGCGUUUUAAUAAAUUUAUAUAGUGCACGGCCAUCAUGACAAACCAGUUUAGAGCAUUUCCAUCACUCCAAAGAUUCCCAGGCUAGGGGUCUAAUCAGAGCUGUAGCCACCAGCCUACACCAGAGCCACAGCAAUGCGGGAUCUGAGCAGUGUCUGCAACCUAUACCACAGCUCACGGCAACGCCGGAUCCCCAACCCACUGAGAAAGGCCAGGGACCGAACCCACAACCUCAUGGUUCCUAGUCAGAUUUGUUAACUGCUGCGCCACAACAGGAACUCCAAUGCAGUUCUGAUUUGACCCCUAGCCUGGGAACUUUCAUAUGCUGCAGGUGACUCCCUAAAAAGUUUAAAAUUUAUCUAUUCUUUUCUACUAUGAAUCAUAUUUAUAGGGUCGUAUUUAUCUAUAACUGAGAAAUGUUUACUUAAGUCAUAAAGGUGUUCUAUAUUUUUCUAGUGGUUGCAUAGUUUUCUAGUCGUUGCAUAGCUAAAACUUGGGAUAAGUGGUUUUAUUUCUGGAUUUUAUACUCUCUUGCAUUGAUCCAUUCCCCUAUCUUUUUGUUAUGGUGCUAUCUUGAUUACUGUAGCUUUGCGGUAAAAUUUGAAAUCUAGUAGUGUGAGUUUUCCCACUUUGUUCUUUGUUCCUUGACCCGUGGAGCAAGGCCAGGGAUUGAACCUGCAACCUCAUGGUUCCUAGUCGGAUUUGUUUCUGCUGCACCAUGAUGGGAGCUCCUGAUAGGGAUUUUAAUGGUAAUUUGGGGGAACUCACCAUUGCAGCAGUUUUGAGUCUUCCAAUUCAUUUUUACUUAAGUCUCCUUUUCCUGAGAUCUUCUUUGAUGUCUUUUAACAAUAUUGUAUGGUGUUCUGUGUACAAUUCUUUUAUUUCUUUUGUUAAAUUUACUCCUAAAUACUCCUUUCUUUUUGAUGUUAUGGUAAAUGAAUUGCCUUAAUUUUAUCUUCCUUGUUCAUUGGAAGUAGAUAGAAAUGCAACUAAUUUUUGUAUAUCUAUCUUCUAUACUAUGACAGUUUAAAACAAAAAUGUCUUGACACUCAUCCUGUUGAGAGUUGGGAUCUAUGCCCCUAUUUUGAGUCUGGCUCUGGAAGUUCUUGACUAAUAAAAUAUGGCAGAAGUAACCUCGGGCCAGUUCCCAGGUCUUUAGAAGCUAGCCACCUCUGCUUCCUAUGUCUUGGGAUAUUUGCUCUGGGAACCCAUCCACCAUGCUGUGAGGAAGUCCAACAGCCUGGAGGGGCCCCUGUGGAUGUCUGAGUGGAGAUGAACCCAGGUCUCAGCAGCAGUGACCUGCCAGCCCCUCAGGGGAAGCUGUCUUGGGGGUGGAUCCUCCAGCUUCCUGGUGCACUGCUUUAGCCAGUGCUGCACGGAACAGAGACAGACCUUUCCUGCUAGGCCUUGCCUUCCACGCAGAUUUGCAAGCAAAAUAAAUGACCAUUGUUGACUUGAGCCACUAAGUUUUGGGAGUGGUUUAUUUCACAGAAUUAGAUAACUGGAGCAUUUGCCCUCUGAGGCUGAGUAAGACUCGGGUGGGAAGAAAAGGAGUAAAGGGGAAAGGCAGAGAGAAGUAAGGGAUGAAAGAAGGCAGGCAGGCAGGAAGAGUGAGGAAGAGACUGAAAUGUGUGAUGAUUGAGUGCCUGCUCUGAGCUAGUCACACAUCUUGAUCAUGAGUCAGACCAACUCACAAGUGCAACAGCCCUGCCACGACAUGCUGUGUGCACCUGAUGUCAGGCAGACCAUUCUUCCUUUUGGGGCCUCAGUCUUCUCAUCUGUGUAACAGGAGCAUGUGAGGAGAAAGGCUGAGCUAGGUAAAGUGGGAGUUGUGUCUGGAGCUGUCUGGUGCAGGGGGCUGCCUUUGAGGGGCAUUUAUGGCCAUGAGCCCGUAGUCACUUUAAGAGUCUGACUGCAUCUUUGAAAGUUUGUACACCGAAGGCAGGAGGAGGAGGAGGAGCCAAAAUAAUUACAAUAAUACUUUAUGUUAUUAUGCUUCUUUCUUUUAUAAGUUAAUUUUAAUUAACCCUUUUUGGAGUUUCCAAUGUGGCUCAGUGGGUUAAGAACCUGAAGUAGUCUUCCUGAGGAUGCAUGUUCGAUCCCCUACCUUGAUCAGUGGGCUAAGGACCCACCAUUGCUGCAAGCUUCUGCAUAGGUCACAGAUGUGGCUCAGAUCUGGCUUUGCUGUUGCUGUGGCUGUGGUGUAGGCUGGCAGCUGCAGCUCUGAUUUGACCCCUAGCCUGGGAACUUCCAUAUGUCACAGGUGCAACCAUAAAAAACAAACAAACAAAAACUAACAUCAACAAAAAAACACCCCAAAAAUCUUUUAUUUUGAGGUAAUUGUAAUUUACAUGCAGCUUAAGAAGUAAUACGUGGGAAUUCCCAAUGUGGCUCAGUGGUAAUGAACCUGACUAGUAUCCAUGAGGAUGCAGGCUUGAUCCCUGGCCUCAUUCAGUGGGUUAAGGAUCUGGCCUUGCUGUGAGCUAUGAUGUAGGUAA